CUUCAGAGUCAAGAAUAGAAUAGACUACUGGGACAAUUAAUGCUGGGUAGUUGGAACUAAGAAAUUAGCAGCAAUUAAGAAGAGACCAGCAUUAUUGAGGUAAAAUUUGGGAAGUGUUUUCUGAGAGCAGAAAGAAGCUGAGUCUCAGAGGUAGCCAAAGUUUUAUCUUAAGUUAGAGCUGGAUUUGGUAAUGUGCAGGAAUCAUUCAGGUGGUACUGGUUUUGAAGGGGUCAUGGAGGCUUUGCACUGUGAAAGGCCAGGGAAGGCCAUUGUUAAAGGUGCAGUCUUGAUUACAGUUGAUUGCUCAGGACUGAAGGGGUCAUGCAAAGAAGUCGAGGCUUGGAACCAUGAAGAGAGCCUAUCAGAGGACAUUGGUGAAGCCAAAUUGCAGUGAAAGACCACAGUGUAUUGGAAAUGCCAAUACUAUGGGAUAACUACCAAGAACAGCAGUAACAGUGAAGUGGAUUCAACAAGGGCUUAGAGUGCUACAGAGAGCAGAGCUGGAGAACUGACACAAGACCUUCAGAGGAUUCUAGAAGAUCAUUAUGUGGAUUCCAGACACUGGGGAAAAAAGUUGUGAUGUUUAAGUUGCUAUGGAGACUCCAAGAUGUUUGAGAUGCCAGAGCCAUAGAAUAUCCGCUGAGGAAAGCUGCUAACAGGGAGUGAAAACAACCCAGGAGAAAGAGAUUUGCUGUAGUCAACAGAGACCAAAAAAGAGUUGGACAUCUGAAGACUUCUUUGAUAUCAGACAUGUAGAUACUGAGUUUGGAGUUUGCCCAGCUGUUUUCCUGUCUAGCUUUGAGGAUUAUAGUUAAGUGGCUGGAUGAAUCUCAGAAGAGACUUUGAACUUUGGAGUUUUAAUGUUGUUGUGACUACUAUAGACAAUGGAGAAUUUUAAAGUUGGACUAAAGGUAUUUUUCAUUAUGCUAUGUUUAGGUAUGACCCCUAUAGACUCAUAUGUUUGAAUAAACCUAUGGGAGCAAAGGAGUGGAAUGAUUAUGCUUGGUUCAGGGGUGGCAUUAUCUGGAGGUGUGGCCUUGUUGGAGGAAGUGUGUCACAGAGGGUGUGGGCUUUAUGAUCCUCCUCCCAACCACAUGGAAGUCAGUGUUCUAUUUGCUUGUGGAAAAAGAUACAGAACUCUCAGCUCCUCCUACACACCUGCCUCUACUCUGCCAUGCUCCUGCCUUGAUGAUAAUGGACAGAACCCCUGAACCUAGAUCAGUAAGAUGCAAUGCUUGAUUCUAAGGAUUCUCAAUCAUCAGACACCAAGAAAAUUCAGGCACCUGUAGAAAUAGGAAGUGUGCAUGUCUCUUCACAGAAAGUGAUCAUCCUCCCACAUCCUUUGAUGUGGGAGAACUGCGGCUGGGCUGAGUUGUAAGGGAUGCACUGCUGCAGAAGCCAGAGUCUGACCUCAUCUCCACCUGGUCCAGGAGGGGAGACUGAGGGAAGAGCUUAGAUUCAAAGCCAAGAACAUCUUGGCAGGAUGUGGCUUUUCAGGAGAUGAUUCUUCCUUGGAGUUCAGGAGCUAAUGCGUCAAGAGGACACUCAAGCAGUACUGGGAACAAGAGUCAACAACAAUGGCUCAUGGACCACAUGAGUGAACCAUCUUGGCAAUAGAAUCCAGCCCAAGGUCCUGGAACAAAAGACUGCUGAUUUGGAAGUUGAGAUUUCAUAUUCAUCAGAGGCACAGAGGGAACUGAGGCAUGACUCAAGGGAUGUGAUUGAGUCAUAGCAGACAGAGACUCGUCAACCUUGUAAAUGAAGUCAUGCUUUGUCUGCAAACAGAGAAAGUACACAUGCCUGGCAUGUUGUCUAUUGCAAGGAAGAAAAAUGUGGUCUUCAGGGCAAUGUUGUACAGGGAUUGGAGUUCUUCCUUUGAAUGAGAUUGUAUCCAGGCUUCUGUCGUUUAUAACAGACUUUGAAAGGCACGUCAGCAAACAUUAAAACAGGUGAAUAAUCUCCUUUGUAUGUGAACAGGCUGGGGUUCAGAGAGAGGAGCCAAACUCGCCAACAUCAUAUGGCCACGCAGCAACAAGGCUUGUCCUGGAGCCCAGAUGGCAAGAGAGAAGAGGCAAUGCUUGUGUCUGGCUCUGCCACCUUGGGCAGCUGAAACAGAGUGAGAAGCUGACUGAUCUGUAGAGGCUUUCUCAUCCUGGGCUUGGACUUCUCCUUUGCUGACUGGAAGCGAUGAACAUUCCCUACUCCCUCUUCUCUGGAUUCACACUGUUCUCUGUGUCAGAAGUCUCUGGAAAACUUUAUACCUGCACACCUUCUCCACUGUGUAUUUCUCUUGAUUUUAUGAGUGGAAAGCUGUGGGGUAUGAGGAGCUCCAUACUCAGAACCCCUCACUCAACACUGCAUGAGAAGACACGAUUUUUCUCCUUCUUUGCACUCCAGGCUCUGCAUGAGAAGGGUGAAGGCUAUCUUCCCAGCCUGUCACAUAAAAUUAGGAUACUAAAACUACUUCAGGGAAAGAAAAUGGUUGUCAUCUUCUGUUGUCACUGAGUCUCUUGGUACAACUUUCUUGCUUAUACUGAGGUGGAAUGUGUGUGUUUGUAAUAUGUAUAUAAGCAUGUAUAACAUAUAUAUGUACAUACAUAAAUGUGUAUAUAUGCACAUAUAUGUAAUGUGUGUUUUAUGUGAAAUGUAGUACCAUUAAAGGAAAUGGAUGUUAAGUGCUUCUA